UAUAUGGAUGGAAUCUUUCUCACUGACCAAGACUCUUUUCCCUUUUCUCUAUAUAAUUAGUAAUAGUUACUCUAAAUAAUAAAUAUUAUAAUAAAAAAUGUGAGAGCAUGCAUGUGCAUCUAAAGAUGCUCCCAAACCAACCCCUCUUUUUCUUUCUUUUGUAAUUUUUAUUCUCCCCAUAUCUCAUCUCUCCUAAUACCUUCAUUUUUUUAUAUUUUUCCCAUCUUCUUCCUUCCGUCACUUUCCAUCUCUUCCUCUUUUUUUUUUUUUUUUCCCUUCUUCUUCUUCUUCUUUUCUCUCUCUCUCUCUCUCUCUCUCUCUCUCCUGCUUCUUCCUCUGUCACGCUGCAAUUUUUUCCUUCUUCCUCUUUUGCACGUCUCCCAUAUCUCUCUCUUUUUGUUUUGUUUUUUCCAUCCCUCUCUCUUCCUUCUUCUCCUUCUUCCCGCUCUCCCUCGAAGACGAUUUGUUGUUUGGCCUUAUCCUUUUUGUGGGCUACUAUUUCAUUGUAGGGUUUAAUUUCAGAUCUGAACCGCAUCUCCCUUUAGAUAGAAAGAUUAGAGUUUUUAUAUGUGAAGCCCAACCGACGCCGACAUUGUUCACACAGAUCUGAUUGUCUCUUUGACAGCCACGUUGAAACCAACCAACGACGAUGUCAACGCCGUCAGUCUGAACCUUCAUGUGUUCAAAUGAUAUUGGCCUAGAUCCUGUUGUCUUUGUCUUUGGUUUAGUGUUUGAAGAACAUUUGUUUGUUUCCUACAUUUGUAGCUGGAUUGUGUCUGGAAUUUUUUUCUUUUGGUUACUUGUUCUUAAGUUUCUUGGUUUGAA